GCCUACACUUCUCUGCAUCUUCCUCUAUUGUUCAGUCCUCCCAACAAGUUAAUAGUCGCACUCUCUGAACCUGUAACAAUCCAAUCCGAUAAUAAUAAUAACUCGCUAGAUUCAAAUUAUCGGCUCAAAAUACUUAAGCUCGAUUAUUAUUAUUAGAGUUUGUAGUCUCUUAUAUACUAAAUUACAGAAUCCCCAUAUUUAAACCUUGACGUUCUCAUCAGUCCAAUCACACACAUGGGUUUAGUGGGAGCUAUCUCUUAAACCCACAAAGUUUUAGUGGGAGCCACCUCUUGAAACUGCAGGACUCAUCUUUAAAAUCUCAUAUUGCUUGAUAGUUUUUGUCUAUAUGUCUUUUGAUCCAGUUUGAACCUGACGAAAUCUUCAUAGUCUAAACACGAAAAGUCUAUAAUACUCCAAUAAUCUUAUAUCGAUGAAAAAGAAGGUCAUACACUCUAAUAAUAAUAAUUACGGUCGGAAUAUAAGAGGCCACACGCUUUGAUAAUAAUAAGUUUAAGCAUUUUAAAUCAAUGGUUUGAAUCCAACAACUUAUUAUUGCUAGCAGGUCAAGUUGUUAUUGAACCCUCCUUCAAAGAAAGCUCUCCAUCCUCGGCAAACUCC
rnacentral:lncRNA from 1 species